AGUCACUGACAUUAGAUACCCCCUGUAGUCCAGGGUGUAAACGCUGCAGACUUGGUGUUGGAAAUCCUUUGGGGGCAUUCAGUGCCGGAGAGAAGUUGUUAAGUCUGCUACUUGGGAGUACGUCCGCAAGGAUGAAACUUAAAGGAAUUGGCGGGGGAGCACCGCAACGGGAGGAGCGUGCGGUUUAAUUGGAUUCAACACCGUAAAACUCACCAGGGAAGACUGUUACAUGAAGGCCGAGAUGAAGACUCUGCUAGAUUUUCAG
rnacentral:rRNA from 1 species